GAAGCAGCUAUCACAGGGUCUGGAACAUAGUACAUCCCAGCCUUCUUGCACAUAGAAACACUACACAGCACUUCAGCUGUAUGUUUGGGGGCCAUUUUAAACAGCAAAAUCAUCAACAGGAAGCAGAAAAUUGUAAAAAUUGUGGCACUAAAUAGACCAUGUAAAGGACACAUGUUUGCAAUAAGAAAGCUGAAACAAGAAGGGGGAGUGUCACCUUAUUUGAUCCAGCUAGAAACUCAGGUGCUGGUAUUCCAGCAACACUCAGGCGGCUGCUCCAGGAGGCUGCAGAGGGGUCCUUUUUAGCCGUCAACAAAACUGGCUAUGGUCACGCCCAUUGGGAAACUCAUUGCUGCCUUCAAGGACUCAGAAGCUGUAGGAAUAUUCAGGCACAGACACCAGACCCAGCUUCAUCUCUAACUUGUGGCAAAGGACAGUACAUCCUGGGAUGGGACCCUAUGCUCCCCUAUGCCAUUUAGACAGAGCCUGGGGAGAGUGACUUCCCAGGGUAUCCAUGUUGGAAUCUCUCAUUUGAUUCUUAUUCAAAUUUAGGUUCUGUCAAUAGAAGAUACUAAAGAAAGAAAGCCAGGAGAAGAAAAGGGACUUCUUUCUUCAAGGUCUAAGCUGUUCUAAUAGCAUUAUUCUGGGAAUGGCAUCUUCCACUCCUCCUAGUACAAAGAACCUGCUUCCUCAUACCCCGUCAAGGAACUGCAGCAUCCAGGUACUUUCUCUGCCUCAAAGGUCUGCAUCCCAUUCUCCAUUUGGCCCCUCCUUUGAACUACCAGAUCUCCGGCUGGAUUGCCUUUUUGUUCUGGAAUUUUCUAAAUUUCUUUAUUAAAUUUCCCAGUUGAAAU
rnacentral:lncRNA from 1 species